CCCUAAAAGCAGGUAUCCGCUAAAGAGUGUGUUAAAACUCACCUGCCGAAUACUAGGGCCCCGAAAAUGAAUGGCGCAUAUAGUACUACCGAUCUCAGACAUCAGUUCUAUUGAACUGAGAGUAGGGGGAUGUGGACAUUUUUGUGAAGGUGCAAUGUGAGUUGGACUGGAAGAAUGUCUAUUACAGAUCCUAAUUGAAGUAGCGAUUAUCCAGGCUUGUAUCCUGGGGGCUGAUGAGGAGUAGGGUUUCUGGACAACUUAAACAGAUCCAGAGUUAGUCGAUCCUAAUCUCAAUAAUGGGAGAAAGGGAGUACAGUUGAUAUUCUGUAACUGACAACAGUUCGCGGCAACGCAUACUAUUUUUCUCCGCCAAUCUUAUACCGUUGGUAGGGAUCUCUUUCCUACAUGACAGUACUAAUACCCAGGGAAACUGGUCAUCAGGCGAACUGCGGCGUUCUGCUGGCAAAACAUAGCUUCGGUUAUGUCAAUGGCUAUUGGAUUGGUCCAUGAAGCGAAAAAUAGUUUACUGUGUCACUCGUACCGAUAACCGCAUCAGGUCUUCUAGGUAAGUAGCCUAUGGCCAUUGAGGCAUGAUAGUUCAGGGAAUUCGGCCAAUUAGAGCUGUAACUUCGGGAUAAAGCUUGGCUCUGAUGAAAAUCAGAACCGAUUGUUACGCGGAGAGCCCAACUGUUUAAUAAAAACGUAGUGUCGCGCUGUGGUAGUAUAGCCAGUGAACGCGACAUGAAUCCUGCUCAGUGCUGUGUCUGUUAAUAUGGUUCAAGCCAACGAAGCACCGGUAAAUAGCUGGGGUAACUAUGACUCUUAUCAAAGUAGCGAAAA
rnacentral:ncRNA from 1 species